rfam:Hordeum vulgare subsp. vulgare, WGS project CAJW01000000 data, contig: morex_contig_159496
CUGAUACUCCCUCAGUCCCAAAAUUCUUGUCUUAUAUUUGUUUAGAUAUGAAUGUAUCUAGUUAAGUUUUAGUAUUUUCAUAUAUCCAUUUUUAGACAAAGCUAAAACAAAAAAUUUGAGACGGAGGGAGUAUUUG